rnacentral:rRNA from 1 species
AUGGGCGCCCCCGUCUACCUCGCCUCCGUCCUCGAGUACCUCGCCGCCGAGCUUCUUGAGCUGGCCGGGAACGCCGCCAAGGACAACAAGAAGUCCCGCAUCAUCCCGCGCCACCUGCUGCUCGCCAUCCGGAACGACCAGGAGCUCGGCAAGCUUCUCGCCGGCGUCACCAUCGCGCACGGCGGCGUGCUGCCCAACAUCAACCCCGUGCUGCUCACCAAGAAGACGGCGGAGAAGGAGCCCAAGUCGCCCAAGAAGACGGCGGAGAAGGAGCCCAAGUCGCCCAAGAAGACGGCGGAGAAGGAGCCGAAGUCCCCCAAGAAGGCUUAG